rnacentral:lncRNA from 1 species
AUACGGUUCCAAUCGCGAAGUGAGUCGAACCCGGCCUGCAGAUAUUCCACUCCCUCAGUUCUUGCUUCCAUUCCUAGCACAGACGCUAUCGUAUCAGGAGUGAUUGAUAACUCAACACCACGUACGGAAGUCUUAAAUACGUACGGGCCGCCGUCGGAGUCACUCAGGUGACCUGCUCUCAUAUAAAAUUCUCUGAUCAACUCCAAACAAAAACCAGUUUGCUCCGGGAAAUCACAAAUCUGAUGAAGAUUUUUCUGUUCAAAUAAAUCCUGAAAUCCCGGCACACAGCUAAUGAUACUGGCAACGCCAACAUCGCGUUCACCAAUACAAUGCUUCGCGAGUACAUG